rnacentral:lncRNA from 1 species
AUGGGGUCACCCUGCUUGGCUGGUGUGUCCCCCGAGCCCCCAAAUACCCCCAAAAUCCAUGCUGGGGAGGGCUGGGAGCUGGGUGCUGCUCCGGUGCUGAACUCACGUGGCUGUGGUGACAGCGGGGCUGGAACAGCACCCGCUGGGACUGAGGGGAUGGACUCAGGAGUGCCACCACUGUCCCCAGUCUGUGGUGGCCCUGCGGUGGCCUGUGCUGACAGGGAGCUGCUUGGGCAACCGCUGGGGCCAGCAGGAGCUGUCUGCGCUCCUCGAUGCCUCGAGGGCACCUUCUUCCUCCUCUUCCUCCUCCUAAUAUUCUUCCUAACACUCCUUUUCCUUCUCCUCUUUCUCUUUGUCCUCCUCGUCCCUGUCCUUCUCGUCCCUGUCCUCCUCGUCCCUGUCCUCCUCAUCCUUGCCUUCCUCCUUAUCCUCCUCCUCCUCCUCCUCAUGCCGAAGGCCCUGGCAGGUCCCAGCAGCUGGCACCCGGCACGGUGGCUGCCCUGUCCCUGCGGCACCACUGGGCACCUUGUCACCAUACCCAGCACAUGCAGCCCUCUCCUCCAGGCCUGGCGCCAGGGUGAUGGGCACCCGGGACGGACAUCCCUGCUCCCCAUCCCCACCCCACGUGUCGCCGCGUCCCCUUCUCCCCCAGCGAGAGGCUCCCCCGUCUCCACCAUCUCCCUCCUCUUCCUCCCCAGCCGUGGCCAAGGGACUCUUCCUCCUCUGGGCCGUGCCAGCGCGGAGCGCGCAGCCCCCGACCCUGCAGCAGAUCCACGCCCUGGUGCGGCACAUGGCCGAGGACGCGCGGGAGCUCUUCUUCUUCUACGAGCAGGAGCAGCACCUGGCCUUCACCCGGCUGUGCCGCACCAACACCUCGCUGGAGUGGCUGCGGGGGACGGUGGUGACGGGGACCGGGGGGCUGCGGGCACUGCACGGGGCCAUGGCCCGCAUGGACCGGGCGCUGCAGGGCAUCAGCCAGCACCAGCGCGACCUCCACCCCCCCGGGGCCCCCAUCCUGCGCCGCCUCGACAGCACCCGCCUGAAGGUGCGGGGCCUCCUCAGCAACCUGGAGGGAGUCCUCCACGCCCACGGCAUCGUCCCCACCGUCCCCACCCUGCCCCGGCUGCCGGCGGCCACCGGAGUCUUCCAGCAGAAGCUGGAGGGGUGCCGGAUCCUCUGGAGCUACGCACGCUUCACGGAGCAGCUCAGCACCCAGCUGGAGGAGCGAGGGCUGCGGGCGCGCCGGGAGGAGAGGAGGCAGCAGCGGCGAGGCCGGCGGCGAGGUCGGCGGCCAGCGAGGUCCUAGGGAGCCCCUGCCACCCCCGCUGCUGUCACCCGAGCUGUCCCCAGCGCCCUGAGGCUUGCGGUUGGAUGCGGAGAGCCCGGCGCGCGGCUGGCGCUGGCACAGACGUCCCCCAGGUGCCACCGCGUGUGGAGGGCAACAUCGGCCAGCGGGGUCACUCUGGGUUGGUGACGUCCCCCGUUUGCCAGCCCUGCCUGAUUUUCCAGUGAUUCAAUGGGUCUGGUGACACGGCCUGACUAAGGGGCUGCUCGCACGGCACCCGCACGCCCGGCGCAGGCAGGGUGCAGCCCCAGACCGACCCUGGCCGCUUGUGCCACCGGCUUGUCACCGAUAUGUCACCCCCUGCCUGCCUCUCGAGGGGUUCGCUGAACCCAGAGAGCAUCUGAGGGUGGCUUUCCUUGAGCCUGGCGUCCCUGUGAGCUUGGUGUCCCUGUGUGCCUGGUGUCCCCAUGAGCCUGGUGUCCCCGUGCACUCUGUGAGCGCAGUGUCCCUGUGCUCAUCCCUGCACGCCUGCUGUCCCUGUGCCUGUCCCCGUGCCUCAUGUCCCUGCAUUGUGUCCCCUCAGCAUCCCCGUGCCCACCCCUGGGCCCUCGGUGUCCCCAGCGUCCCCGAGCCCUGCACUGUGCGGGUGGGCACCGGUCCCCCAGUAACUUAUACGUGACAGUGGUGCAGCUCCCCUAUUUAUUGAAACCAUCGGUUUAAUUUAAUAUAUCCCUGCACCUGGGAGAAAUAUUUAAGGAUACCUUUUUUUAAUAUAUAAAUUAUAUAUAUCUAUUUUUGUUAUUUUUUUUUGUACUGUGUUAAGCUGUAAAGGUAACGAUGUUUUAUUUAUGAAUCUAAAUAUUAUUUUGUACUGGGAGAAGGGCACCACCGGGCCAUCCUGCCCAGGUGGUGCCCCCUUAUUUUUAUAUCACAGCAGAUGGAAAUAAAGCAUUGACCUCGGCCCGUGGGCUUAUGCCUCUGGCCUGGCACCUGUGUGUGUGUGUGUCUGUGUGUCCAUGUGUCCGGCUGUCCGUGUGUCCGGGUGCCUGUGCCUCUCCCAGCCCUGAGAAAAGCCCGCGGGGUUUGCUGUGCGCAGGAACCGACUCAUUCCGCGAGUGCUUCUGGGGCUUUUCAGGGCUGCAGGGUCUGGUGCUGCCAGGAAUUCUCCUGAGCGUGGUGAUGUGGUGAGGGCACAGCGAAACCUGAACAAAUUCAGAAACUGAUUAGCAAUAACCUGAAAGGAAAGUGGGGCCACAAGAGGCCCGGGGGGACAAAGUGGGGGACAAGGCUGGAGGGAAACUGCAGAGCAUGGGGAUGAUGUGGGACGUGGCGUGGGGUGGUGUUUGGGAUGGGAUGGUGGUGCAUUGUGGCACAUGGCAC